rnacentral:siRNA from 1 species
AUUUAUAUUUCGGAUAUUUUCGGU